rnacentral:ncRNA from 1 species
UACAUUUGCAGCCUUAAAUUUAAAACAUACAUAAUAAACAUUAAAAACAAUUUUAGCAUG